GUCUGAAGGUGCUGCAGGAUGCCGUUCCUUCGCGCGUGAGGCUGCGGCGCUGACGCCCCACAGGCUCCUUCAAUUUCCGUGAUCCUCAGAGGCCCCAGGAGACCAGGUGAUGGCAGCAGCCAGGCUCCUGCCAGUGCCGGCAGGACCCCAGGCCAAGUUGACCUUCGAGGAUGUGGCUGUGCUCCUCUCCAGGAUGAAUGGGACCGCCUGUGCCCUGCUCAGAGGGGCCUCUACAGAAAUGUGAUGAUGGAAACCUAUGGGAAUGUAGUCUCAUUGGGUAAGCCACCUUAGCAGGCCUUGUCUGUGUAUCUGUGUAAUGGACUGCGGGGGGCUUCUCAGUGUAUGGGGCCUCGGACAGGCUGGUCCUGGAGGUUUGCUCUCAUCACCUCUCUGGGUGCUCAGCUCCAGCAGAAGGUCAGUCCUGUCCAUUUUCAUAUCCCCACAAGUGGCUUGGGCACGGGGAGGGGGCUCUGUAAAUGUUGUAUAAACAAAGACUUCCCUCCCCACGAGCAGGACUUCCA
rnacentral:sRNA from 1 species